rnacentral:rRNA from 1 species
ACGAACGCUGGCGGCAGGCUUAAUACAUGCAAGUCGAACGGUUGUAGCAAUACAGCAGUGGCAGACGGGUGAGUAACACGUGGGAACCUACCUAGGGGUACGGAAUAACUCAGGGAAACUUGUGCUAAUACCGUAUACGACCUUCGGGUGAAAGAUUUAUCGCCCCUAGAUGGGCCCGCGUUGGAUUAGCUAGUUGGUGAGGUAAAAGCUCACCAAGGCGACGAUCCAUAGCUGGUCUGAGAGGAUGAUCAGCCACACUGGGACUGAGACACGGCCCAGACUCCUACGGGAGGCAGCAGUAGGGAAUCUUGGACAAUGGGCGAAAGCCUGAUCCAGCCAUGCCGCGUGUGUGAUGAAGGCCUUAGGGUUGUAAAGCACUUUCGCCAGGGAAGAUAAUGACGGUACCUGGAUAAGAAGCCCCGGCUAACUUCGU